rnacentral:rRNA from 1 species
UACGUAGGGUGCGAGCGUUGUCCGGAAUUAUUGGGCGUAAAGGGCUUGUAGGCGGUUUGUCGCGUCGGGAGUGAAAACCAGGUGCUUAACACCUGGCUUGCUUUCGAUACGGGCAGACUAGAGGUAUUCAGGGGAGAACGGAAUUCCUGGUGUAGCGGUGAAAUGCGCAGAUAUCAGGAGGAACACCGGUGGCGAAGGCGGUUCUCUGGGAAUGACCUGACGCUGAGGAGCGAAAGUGUGGGGAGCGAACAGG